CUGAUGAGGUCGAUUUUCUGAUGAGCUCGGCUUUCUGAUGAGCUCGACCUCCUCCACUUCGGAUCUUGCCAGGGAUGGCUUCGAAUCUCAUAGAUAAUUUUUGGACAAUCUCGAAUCCUAUCGAGAUUAGUUUCUUCCACCUCGAAUCUUAUCGAGGCGAUCUCAGAUCUUGUUGAGGAUUUAUACACACACACACACAC
rnacentral:lncRNA from 1 species